GUGAAAGAAGAAGGUAGAGGGAGAACAAUGGAGGACUAAUAAUAGACAAAGAAGGAGGAAGUUAUGGAUGAGGCAGAUCAAAUUUGACAGCUAAGAAGCUUAGUAUUCACGAACACCACUGACAGCUAGAAAACAAAUCGAACAAGGUUGUGAAGAAAGGAUACUAGUUCAUGUUCCCUUACAUUCUUCGAGAAGUUGGUUGCCAUCUUCGAGAGGUGCCAGUUGCCUAGCUUCCAAGGGAAGCUGGUGCAACUUCCCAUGGAAGGAGAGUAAGUCCUUAUUUAAUCACCAUUUCCCCCACCAUCAGCAUCGACGUCAGUCACACUACCAUCUCGUCCAGAGAAUGUCAAAUGAAGUGGGGAGAAAAAGUAGUGAAAAAAAUAGAUGGGGGAGGUAGAAAUGCAGGUGAGAGGAGUUAAUUGGCGCACCAUUUCAGGAGGUGGACGGUUUCACACAUGGUUGCACGGUGGAAUGCGUCACUUCAGCUACUAGGUAGAGAUCGAAAAAUUGGCCAAAUUGUGUUUGAACAUAAACAAGAGAUCAAGGCCCAACAAACAGAAAAGAAGCUAAACAUGUAUAAACUUUGGAAAUUAAUUAAGGAAUUGUAUAUGAUUAUUGAGAUGUAUUGGAAAGAGUUAUUUGGAGAAAGAGUGGAUAGAGUGGAAAGUUAAAAAAAUGUAUAUAGAAACCGAUUAUAGUUAUAAUUAAUAAUUUUAUUUACAUUAUAUACAUUAUAUUAUAUAAAAAAGCAGCUGUGAAUUAGAUGGGAAAGAGUGGAAAGAUAAAAAGGGAGAUCAAAUUUGGCAGAUAAGAAGCUUAUUCACGACCAGCAGUGACAGCGAGAAAACAUAUCGGGCAAGAUUGUGAAGAGGGGAUACUGGUUCCUAUUCUCACGCGUUCUUCGAGGAGCCGGUUGCCAUUUUUGAGAGGCGUUGGUUGCCUAGCUUCCCAGGCAAACUAGCGCAACUUCCCAUCGGAGGCGAGAAACUACUUAUUUAAUUGCCAUUUCCCCCACCAUCGGCAUCGUCGCCAGUUCCACUACCAUCUCGUCCCCAACAUGCGCGCGUCACCCCAGCAGCCCAGCCGACACCAUGAAGCGAUCCGUCUACCCCUCGACCCCCACCUCCUCCGGCUCCCCGACGCACCCCCUCUCCAUCACCGGCUCAACUCCGCGCAUCCAGUGAUCCUCCGGCGCCUCUUUGUCGUCGUCACCCUACCGUAGCAGGUCGUCGCCACACUAUCAUCGCGUCGCCACCCUCAACUUCACAGCAGCAGUACGGUGCUACAAUCACGCGGUGGGGUUGUCCCGCUACGGAAGCACUUCCGUGUCAGGAUCCCACUCCGACGCCAGCGACCUCGGGCUGUCGUUGCGCUCGUCCUCGGGAUCACGCUCCGAUGGCACCGACCUCAACCCAUUGGUGUCGCCCGUGGUCGCGCCUGGGAGUUCCCGGACGCGUUCCCAGCCUCCUCUAGUGGUGGGGUGACUUCCUCCACCCCCGUGUCCUCGUCACCGUCCAUGGAUGCUCUAACUCAGGAUAAGCUCGAUGUCCAAUU
rnacentral:lncRNA from 1 species